rnacentral:rRNA from 1 species
GACGAACGCUGGCGGCGUGCUUAACACAUGCAAGUCGAACGGAAAGGCCUGCUUUCCCUUGUGGAUUGCGGGUACUCGAGUGGCGAACGGGUGAGUAACACGUGAGUGAUCUGCCCCCAACUUGGGUAUAAGCCUGGGAAACUGGGUCUAAUUCCCGAUAGGACUGCAGGGUGGUGCCUGUGGUGGAAAACGAUUUUCUAGUGGUUGGGGAUGAGCUCGCGGCCUAUCAGCUUGUUGGUGGGGUAAUGGCCUACCAAGGCGGCGACGGGUAGCCGGCCUGAGAGGGUGGACGGCCACAUUGGGACUGAGAUACGGCCCCGACUCCUACGGGAGGCAGCAGUGGGGAAUAUUGCACCAUGGGCGGAAGCCUGAUGCAGCGACGCCGCGUGGGGGAUGACGGCCUUCGGGUUGUAAACUCCUUUCGACCGCGAGGAAGCCACCUGGUUGGAAGGGUGGUGACGGUAGUGGUAGAAGAAGCACCGGCUAACUACGUG